rnacentral:rRNA from 1 species
UAUGUAGGGGGCGAGCGUUAUCCGGAUUCACUGGGUGUAAAGGGAGCGUAGACGGCCAUGCAAGCCAGGGGUGAAAGCCCGGGGCCCAACCCCGGGACUGCCCUUGGAACUGCAUGGCUGGAGUGCGGGAGGGGCAGGCGGAAUUCCUGGUGUAGCGGUGAAAUGCGUAGAUAUACGGAGGAACACCAGUGGCGAAGGCGGAUUGCUGGACAGUAACUGACGCUGAGGCGCGAAAGCGUGGGGAGCAAACAGG